rnacentral:rRNA from 1 species
UACAGAGGUCCCGAGCGUUGUUCGGAUUCAUUGGGCGUAAAGGGUGCGUAGGCGGCGGGGCAAGUCUGAUGUGAAAUCCCGGGGCUCAACCCCGGAACUGCAUUGGAUACUGCCUUGCUAGAGUACUGGAGAGGGAACUGGAAUUUACGGCGUAGCAGUGAAAUGCGUAGAGAUCGUAAGGAAGGCCAGUGGCGAAGGCGAGUUCCUGGACAGUUACUGACGCUGAGGCACGAAGGCCAGGGGAGCAAACGGG